rnacentral:rRNA from 1 species
CCCUUAGAUGUUCUGGGCCGCACGCGCGCUACAAUGAUGAAUUCAACGAGUUUAUAACCUUGGUUGAAAAGCCUGGGUAAUCUUUUGAACUUUCGUCGUGAUGGGGCUAGACCCUUGCAAUUAUUGGUCUCCAACGAGGAAUUCCUAGUAAACGCAAGUCAUCAGCUUGCAUUGAUUACGUCCCUGCCCUUUGUACACACCGCCCGUCGCACCUACCGAUUGAAUGGUCCGGUGAAAUCUUCGGAUUGAGUCUUUGAUUUCUUCACGGAAAACGCUGUUUUAAAAAGUUGAUUAAACCUUACCAUUUAGAGGAAGGUGAAGUCGUAACA